rnacentral:rRNA from 1 species
AUUGAACGCUGGCGGCAGGCUUAACACAUGCAAGUCGAACGAGUGGCGGACGGGUGAGUAAUGUAUGGGGAUCUGCCUGAUGGAGGGGGAUAACUACUGGAAACGGUGGCUAAUACCGCAUACCAUAGGAUGAACCCAAAUGGGAUUAGCUAGUUGGUGAGGUAAAGGCUCACCUAGCGACGAUCUCUAGCUGGUCUGAGAGGAUGACCAGCCACACUGGGACUGAGACACGGCCCAGACUCCUACGGGAGGCAGCAGUGGGGAAUAUUGCGCAAUGGGGGCAACCCUGACGCAGCCAUGCCGCGUGUAUGAAGAAGGCCUUCGGGUUGUAAAGUUCUUUCGGUAGCGAGGCGUUAACUACAGAAGAAGCACCGGCUAACUCCGUGCCAGCAGCCGCGGUAAUAC